UGUUAAACUGGUAUCCAAUAUGCCUGAACCAAGACUUCAUCACAGCACAGUACUGUGUGAUGAUAGUAUUUUGAUCGUUGGGGGAAAGAAAUCAUUGGACUUCAAAGACAACCUGAGCAGUGUGUUAAGCUAUGACAUCAAGAAGAAUGAAUGUCAACAGUUACCUGCGCUUCCCUAUCCAGUGAGUGCAAUGGCGACAGUCAAGUGGGCUGAGAAUGUCGUGAUCAUUGGUGGGGCUGACAAGGAUGGUAAAGCAUUAAACAAUGUUAUAAUUUAUAACAUCAAGACUGGAAACAGUCAUAUGUUGCCUCCCAUGUUACACAAGAGGGAAGGAUGUAUGGCAGUUGUUAUUGAGAAUACAAUUGUAGUACUAGGAGGCAAGGGUGAGAGAGGGAAUGGUUUGAAAUCAGUUGAAGGUUUCAAUUUUGAGCGAUUUUCAUGGCAGAAACUUCCUGACAUGAAGGAAGACAGAUACCUGGCUACAGCAGUCGUGAUUUAGACAUGGUCGAAAAUAAUUAUAUAUAUAAUUUCGUAGAAUUUUUGAACUUUGACAUAUAUCUCGAAAGUUUUCAAAUUUAGCAUAGAUCAAAGAACUUCUUGACUGUUGUGAUGUGGACAUGUUUGAAAUGUUUUGUAAAUAUUAUGUAGAGUAGAAUGUUAGAAUGUAUGGUAGAAUG